rnacentral:tRNA from 1 species
GGCAAGAUGGCCGAGUGGUUAUGGCGUGUGGUACGUUGCAAAUAAAACACCUUCCACCUCUACUAUCAAAUCUUCUAACAUAUUCCCUUCUUUCAGACUCAAGCGUUAGCUUCGCUGACUCAGUCAGUGUGUUCUCAUGGGCUUAGCCCGCGGGGGUUCGAAUCCCCCUCUUGUCA